rnacentral:hammerhead_ribozyme from 1 species
AUCCAAUCGAUGAGUCCCGAAUAGGACGAAAUGAGCGUCCUGGAU